rnacentral:rRNA from 1 species
GAUGAACGCUGGCGGCGUGCCUAACACAUGCAAGUCGAGCGAACGGAAGAGGACCUUUCUUCUCUGAUGUUAGCGGCGGUCGGGUGAGUAACACGUGGAUAACCUACCUAUAAGACUGUGAUAAUUUCGUGAAACCAUAGCUAAUACCGGAUAAUUUUUUGAACCUCAUUGUUCAAAAUUGAAAGACGGUCUUGUCAUAGCUUAUCGAUCAAUCCGCGAUUCAUGCGAUAGUUGGUAGGGUAACUGCUUACGCAGGUAACGAGGGAUAGCCGACCUGAGAGGGGGAACGGCCAGACGGGAAGUGAGACAGGGUACAGACUCUGACGGGAAGCAGCAGUACGGAAUCUUCCGGAAGGGGCGAAAGCCUGACGGAGCAACGCGGGGGGAGUGAUGAAGGUCUUCGGACCGGAAAACUCUGAUAUUAGGGAGGAACAUAUGUGUAAGUAACUGUGCAGAUCUUGACGGUACCUAAUCAGAAAGCCACGGCUAACUACGUG